rnacentral:SRP_RNA from 15 species
GGUUUGUUCAAGCUGGAGGUGGUGGCCGGUGAAGUGGGGUGCAGAAACAACCUGCAGAAGGUGAAGGACGUGAUCUUGAAGUCUGGCAAAGAAGGACGGGACAGGAUGAGGUUCGAGAUG